AUACCAGUGAACUGUAAAAUAGAAUGUGCAUAUCAAAAGUAUAACAUUGCUCUAUUGUUUAUAUUUUCAGACUUUGACAAAUAUUAUAAUUCAGAGUGUGAUAUUAUUAAUAAAACCUUAGAAUACACUCACUCACAUGCGUUGGAAGAUACCACUUAUUGUAAUAGGGAAGUCAGUCUGUUGUAUGUUAUACUGAUGUUUGGCACUUUAUGGGUCGGUAUCAUGUUGUACAAUUCAACUAAGAGUCCUUUAUUAGAUGCCAGCAAAAGAGAGAUGUUAACUGACUAUGCUUUGCCUGUUUCUGUUUUGUUCAUGUCAUUCAUCGGUUCGUAUGUCUUCCGAGAUAUUAAAGUGGAAGCAUUGCCUUACCAUGACAGCCAGCUAUUU